UGGGGAAUAUUGCACAAUGGGCGGAAGCCUGAUGCAGCAACGCCGCGUGCGGGAUGACGGCCUUCGGGUUGUAAACCGCUUUCGCCUGUGACGAAGCGUGAGUGACGGUAAUGGGUAAAGAAGCACCGGCUAACUACGUGCCAGCAGCCGCGGUGAUACGUAGGGUGCGAGCGUUGUCCGGAUUUAUUGGGCGUAAAGGGCUCGUAGGUGGUUGAUCGCGUCGGAAGUGUAAUCUUGGGGCUUAACCCUGAGCGUGCUUUCGAUACGGGUUGACUUGAGGAAGGUAGGGGAGAAUGGAAUUCCUGGUGGAGCGGUGGAAUGCGCAGAUAUCAGGAGGAACACCAGUGGCGAAGGCGGUUCUCUGGGCCUUUCCUGACGCUGAGGAGCGAAAGCGUGGGGAGCGAACAGGCUUAGAUACCCUGGUAGUCCACGCUGUAAACGGUGGGUACUAGGUGUGGGGUCCAUUCCACGGGUUCCGUGCCGUAGCUAACGCUUUAAKACC
rnacentral:rRNA from 1 species